rnacentral:rRNA from 1 species
CGGCUCAACCGGGGAGGGUCAUUGGAAACUGGGAAACUUGAGUGCAGAAGAGGAGAGUGGAAUUCCACGUGUAGCGGUGAAAUGCGAAGAGAUGUGGAGGAACACCAGUGGCGAAGGCGACUCUCUGGUCUGUAACUGACGCUGAGGAGCGAAAGCGUGGGGAGCGAACAGGAUUAGAUACCCUGGUAGUCCACGCCGUAAACGAUGAGUGCUAAGUGUUAGGGGGUUUCCGCCCCUUAGUGCUGCAGCUAACGCAUUAAGCACUCCGCCUGGGGAGUACGGUCGCAAGACUGAAACUCAAAGGAAUUGACGGGGGCCCGCACAAGCGGUGGAGCAUGUGGUUUAAUUCGAAGCAACGCGAAGAACCUUACCAGGUCUUGACAUCCUCUGACAACCCUAGAGAUAGGGCUUUCCCUUCGGGGACAGAGUGACAGGUGGUGCAUGGUUGUCGUCAGCUCGUGUCGUGAGAUGUUGGGUUAAGUCCCGCAACGAGCGCAACCCUUGAUCUUAGUUGCCAGCAUUCAGUUGGGCACUCUAAGGUGACUGCCGGUGACAAACCGGAGGAAGGUGGGGAUGACGUCAAAUCAUCAUGCCCCUUAUGACCUGGGCUACACACGUGCUACAAUGGACAGAACAAAGGGCUGCAAGACCGCAAGGUUUAGCCAAUCCCAUAAAUCUGUUCUCAGUUCGGAUCGCAGUCUGCAACUCGACUGCGUGAAGCUGGAAUCGCUAGUAAUCGCGGAUCAGCAUGCCGCGGUGA